UACGGAGGGUGCAAACGUUGCUCGGAAUCAUUGGGCGUAAAGCGCACGUAGGCGGUGCGGUAAGUUGGAUGUGAAAGCCCUCGGCUUAACCGAGGAAGUGCAUUCAAAACUGCCGGACUUGAAUACUGGAGAGGAUCGCGGAAUUCCCGGUGUAGAGGUGAAAUUCGUAGAUAUCGGGAGGAACACCAGUGGCGAAGGCGGCGAUCUGGACAGAUAUUGACGCUGAGGUGCGAAAGCGUGGGGAGCAAACAGG
rnacentral:rRNA from 1 species